rnacentral:rRNA from 1 species
UGGGGAAUCUUGCGCAAUGGCCGAAAGGCUGACGCAGCGACGCCGCGUGUGGGAUGAAGCAUUUCGGUGUGUAAACCACUGUUGCCCGGGACGAACAGCUUCUUUCGAGGAGCCUGACGGUACCGGGUGAGGAAGCACCGGCUAACUCCGUGCCAGCAGCCGCGGUAAUACGGAGGGUGCGAGCGUUGUCCGGAAUCACUGGGCGUAAAGGGCGCGUAGGCGGCGCGGGUAGUCAACGGUGAAAGCUUGGGGCUCAACCCCGAGUCGGCCGUCGAUACUCCCGUGCUUGAGCACUGUAGAGGCAGGUGGAAUUCCGGGUGUAGCGGUGGAAUGCGUAGAGAUCCGGAAGAACACCGGUGGCGAAGGCGGCCUGCUGGGCAGUAGCUGACGCUGAGGCGCGACAGCGUGGGGAGCAAACAGGAUUAGAUACCCCCGUAGUCC